rnacentral:rRNA from 1 species
AUCAUGGCUCGGGAUGAACGCUGGCGGCGUGCUUAACACAUGCAAGUCGAGCGAAGCACUUAAGUUUGAUUCUUCGGAUGAAGACUUUUGUGACUGAGCGGCGGACGGGUGAGGUAACGCGUGGGUAACCUGCCUCAUACAGGGGGAUAACAGUUAGAAAUGGCUGCUAAUACCGCAUAAGACCACAGUACUGCAUGGUACAGUGGUAAAAACUCCGGUGGUAUGAGAUGGACCCGCG